CAACUUUCAGCAAUGGAUCUCUUGGCUCUCGCAUCGAUGAAGAACGCAGCGAAUUGCGAUAUGUAAUGUGAAUUGCAGAUCUACAGUGAAUCAUCGAAUCUUUGAACGCACAUUGCGCUCCUCGGUGUUCCGAGGAGCAUGCCUGUUUGAGUGUCAGU
rnacentral:rRNA from 1 species